GCCUGGACAGCUCAGUUGGUUAGAGCAUUGUACUGCUAAUGCCAAGGUUGCAAGUUUGAUCCCCACAUGUGACAGCUGCA